GAUGACCCCUAGCGGCAGGCCUAACACAUGCAAGUCGAGGGGUAACAGAAAAGCUUGCUUUUGCUGACGACCGGCGCACGGGUGCGUAACGCGUAUGCAACCUACCUCAUACUGGAGGAUAGCCCCUGGAAACGGGGAUUAAUACUCCAUAGUAUCACAAUUUCGCAUGUUAUUGUGAUUAAAGUUUUUCGGUAUGAGAUGGGCAUGCGUCCCAUUAGCUUGUUGGUGAGGUAACGGCUCACCAAGGCAACGAUGGGUAGGGGGCCUGAGAGGGUGGUCCCCCACACUGGUACUGAGACACGGACCAGACUCCUACGGGAGGCAGCAGUGAGGAAUAUUGGUCAAUGGAGGAAACUCUGAACCAGCCAUGCCGCGUGAAGGAUGACGGCCCUAUGGGUUGUAAACUUCUUUUAUAGAGGAAGAAACUUGUCUACGUGUAGACAACUGACGGUACUCUACGAAUAAGGAUCGGCUAACUCCGUG
rnacentral:rRNA from 1 species